rfam:Vibrio aerogenes CECT 7868 genome assembly, contig: 0005
GUUCACUGCCGCACAGGCAGCUUCAGAAU